rnacentral:rRNA from 1 species
GAUGAACGCUAGCGGGAGGCCUAACACAUGCAAGCCGAGCGGUAUUGUUUCUUCGGCAAUGAGAGAGCGGCGUACGGGUGCGUAACACGUGUGCAACCUGCCUUUAUCUGGGGGAUAGCCUUUCGAAAGGAAGAUUACUACUCCAUAAUAUAUUUAACGGCAUCGUUUAAUAUUGAAAGCUCCGGCGGAUAGAGAUGGGCACGCGAAAGAUUAGCUAGUUGGUGAGGUAACGGCUCACCAAGGCGAUGAUCUUUAGGGGGCCUGAGAGGGUGAUCCCCCAAACUGGUACUGAGACACGGACCAGACUGCUACGGGAGGCAGCAGUGAGGAAUAUUGGUCAAUGGGUGCAAGCCUGAACCAGCCAUCCCGCGUGAAGGACGACUGCCCUAUGGGUUGUAAACUUCUUUUGUAUAGGGAUAAACCUACCCUCGUGAGGGUAGCUGAAGGUACUAUACGAAUAAGCACCGGCUAACUCCGU